rnacentral:lncRNA from 1 species
AGCGACUUGUGCAGUCGCCCCCCAAACCCGGCUCGCUCCACCUCCUCCUCCUUCCCCGCCCCUCGCGCGGGCGCCAGUGUGACGUCAUCCGCGCGGCGCCCGCCGCCACUUCCUACUUCCGGCCCACAGGAGCCGACCGGCCCUCGUACCUAGUGGCGUUUCCCGCGCCUCAGUCGCUCACUUCCCGCGGCUCUGGGACUCCUUCCUUUAAACCCCGGCUGCAGGAUAUAAAAGGCUAAAAGACGAAAAAGAGUGAGUGUACAGACAGACAGUACUCCUCCUCCUCCUCCUUGUGGACUUGUUUCAAAACCCCCAGCAGAUGCCUGAAACUUCAAACAGCACCAGACCCU